rnacentral:rRNA from 1 species
UGGGGAAUAUUGGACAAUGGGCGCAAGCCUGAUCCAGCAAUGCCGCGUGUGUGAAGAAGGCCUUCGGGUUGUAAAGCACUUUUAUCAGGAGCGAAACGCUGUCGGCUAAUACCCGGCGGAACUGACGGUACCUGAGGAAUAAGCACCGGCUAACUUCGUGCCAGCAGCCGCGGUAAUACGAAGGGUGCAAGCGUUAAUCGGAAUUACUGGGCGUAAAGCGUGCGUAGGCGGUUUCUUAAGUCUGCUGUGAAAUCCCCGGGCUCAACCUGGGAAUGGCAGUGGAUACUGGGAGGCUAGAGUGUGUCAGAGGGUGGUGGAAUUCCCGGUGUAGCGGUGAAAUGCGUAGAGAUCGGGAGGAACAUCAGUGGCGAAGGCGACCACCUGGGACAACACUGACGCUGAGGCACGAAAGCGUGGGGGAGCAAACAGGAUUAGAUACCCUGGUAGUCCACGCCCUAAACGAUGCGAACUGGAUGUUGGUCUCAACUCGGAGAUCAGUGUCGAAGCUAACGCGUUAAGUUCGCCGCCUGGGGAGUACGGUCGCAAGACUGAAACUUAAAUGAAUUGACGGGGUCAUAGCUGUUUCCUG